rnacentral:rRNA from 1 species
UACAGAGGGUGCAGGCGUUAAUCGGAAUUACUGGGCGUAAAGCGCGCGUAGGUGGUUUGUUAAGUUGGAUGUGAAAUCCCUCGGCUCAACCGGGGAACGACGCAUGAAACUGGCAGCUAGAGUACCAAAGAGGGGGUGGAAUUCCCGGUGUAGCGGUGGAAAUGCGUAGAUAUCGGGAGGAACACCUGUGGCGAAGGCGGCCCCCUGGUUGGAUACUGACGCUGAUACGCGAAAGCGUGGGGAGCAAACAGG